CGUGACGUCAUCGUUUUUAUAUUUUUCUUCUGGGAUGAAUAGCUAUUGCCCGGUUGAAAAAAUUAUCGCAAUUUUACGUAAAAAAAUACCCUAAAGGAUUGAUUGUAAACAUCGUUUGACGUGUUUCUACAAACGGUAAUGGAACUUUGAACAUUUCGUCUAUGGAUUUGCGUCCACGCCACAUGGCAUUGUAAAGUGUUCUGGAUGGGUCAACAAAACGAACGUAUUUGGACUUUGCAGAACAAAUGAACAUUUCGUGUGGAAGUGGGUGCCCAUCCGAGUGCAUUCUGCCGAAGAUCAGCAAAGGAGAAAAAAGGCUGUUGCUUGUAGGGAGCGUUUCAAGAUUGGUAAGACCAGAGACAGAUGAGCUGGGGGACUUGUUAACCGGGAUCAUUGAUAGCCAGCAACCUCUGAAAGGUAUCCCCGAUGAUGACCAUUUGGACAGUACAGAUGGGGGACCGUUCCAAUCCUAAUUUGAGGCAGAUGAUCACCAUAACUUGGAGGGGGCUUAACAGGAUGAAGGUCAACCUGCUACAACUGCAGCAACCAGGAGGGAAGAUUGUGUCACUAACCUGGGCCAGAGGACAAAGACAAAGAGGCUGAGCAUGCAUGAGAAACUUCCCAUGGAAUUUCAUGAGCGCAAACUAAUGUAUUUAAACGUGAAGGAAGAGGAGAGAAACAUGAAGCAGCAGCAGUGCCAAUGUUCUUCUCAAACCAGCACCAGUUCGGGGUCCCAAUAUUUCUAUUUGUAAAUUAAAAAUCUUAUCCAUGGC
rnacentral:lncRNA from 1 species